rnacentral:rRNA from 1 species
AGAGUUUGAUCAUGGCUCAGAACGAACGCUGGCGGCAGGCCUAACACAUGCAAGUCGAACGCUGCAGCAAUGCAGAGUGGCAGACGGGUGAGUAACACGUGGGAAUCUUCCUAUCGGUACGGAAUAGCUCAGGGAAACUUGGGGUAAUACCGCAUACGCCCUUCGGGGGAAAGAUUUAUCGCCGAUAGAUGAGCCCGCGUCUGAUUAGCUAGUUGGUGAGGUAAUGGCUCACCAAGGCGACGAUCAGUAGCUGGUCUGAGAGGAUGACCAGCCACACUGGGACUGAGACACGGCCCAGACUCCUACGGGAGGCAGCAGUGGGGAAUAUUGGACAAUGGGCGCAAGCCUGAUCCAGCCAUGCCGCGUGAGUGACGAAGGUCUUCGGAUUGUAAAGCUCUUUUGGCGGGGACGAUAAUGACGGUACCCGCAGAAUAGCCC